AAAUGGUUUCAUAUCUAAGGGUUGUGUAAAAACUAGCCAGUCCUUUGGGUAUGAAACCCAUUUGGGCGAGAGUGGUACUGGGAUGGGUGACCUCCUGGGAAGUCCUCGUGAAAGGGUUUC
rnacentral:rRNA from 3 species